UUCAGUCAGAUUCGGCAACUCUGAAAAAUAUUUUUUUCAGAUUCCAAAAUAUAUUGGUAUUCUUCUCACAAUUCAUAUAGUGAGAACAAGUCGUGUAUGUACUUAUGAGGAAUUUCGGUAUGUCAAAGAAUGUCCAAUCACUGAUGAGCAAAGAAUACAGGCUUCCAAGGCGAUGUUAUGUUCCAUGACAACGAUAAACGGAUCUCCGAAUCCAUAUCACUGUGUCUUAGAUCCGUCUGUAUCAAAAUUAAUAGAAGUGUGUGUCGAACCUGUCCAAAUAAUAGGUCAAUUUUGUGCAGAGUAUAAUCAAUUCGGUAAAAGGAUACAAGCCAAUAUCAGGGCACCAUGUUCUGGUCAUAACAAUUCCUGUCCACCAUCGUACUUGUCAACUGAUUCACAUAAAUUUACAGACUGUUAUGCACUGGUCUCGAAGAAUAUAUCAGCCACGGAAAAUUUAACAACAUCGGAUAGACCUUACAUGAGCAUUUCAAAUGAACGAAUACAGUUCUCUGUUACAUACAA